rnacentral:sRNA from 1 species
GCACAAUACCUUUAUGUAGUCCUUGCUGC